UGACCUCAAAUCAGGUAAGAAUACCCGCUGAAUAG
rnacentral:rRNA from 1 species